GAUGAACGCUGGCGGCGUGCCUAAUACAUGCAAGUCGAGCGAACGGACGAGAAGCUUGCUUCUCUGAUGUUAGCUGCGGAUGGGUGAGUAACACGUGGAUAACCUACCUAUAAGUCUGGGAUAACUUCGGGAAACCGUAGCUAAUACCGGAUAAUAUUUUGAACCGUAUGGUUCCAAAGUGACAGACGGUCUUGCUGUCACCUAUAGAUGGAUCCGCGCUGCAUUAGCUAGAUGGUAAGGUAACGGCUUAACAAGGCAACGAUGCAUAGCCGACCUGAGAGGGUGAUCGGCCAGACUGGAAGUGAGACACGGUCCAGACUCCGGCGGGGGGCAGCAGUAGGGAAUCUUCCGCGAUGGGCGAAAGCCUGACGGAGCAAAGCCGCGUGAGUGAUGAAGGUCUUCGGAUCGUAAAACUCUGUUAUUAGGGAAGAACAUAUGUGUAAGUAACUGUGCACAUCUUGACGGUACCUAAUCAGAAAGCCACGGCUAACUACGUG
rnacentral:rRNA from 1 species